CUCUCCCUCUCUCUCUCUCUCUUAUCUCCUCUGUUCCCAAGCCCAUACAGCACCUUGCGUCAACUGUCAAGCACUCUAUAUAAUAAUUGCACGUAGAAGCUCUUCCCAAUUUUCAGUUCUUGUGAACAUUGCUUCUGAACUCUCUUUUCUACUCUUCUUUUAUCAGAUCAAACGCCAAAGAUCAAACUCAGCUUAUUGUGGCAUGGAAAUUGAACUAAAGGUGUCUCAAAACAACGUAGAAGAAGACGGCAACAGAGCAAGAGUGUUUCCUUGUUUAUUCUGUUCAAGAAAGUUUUACAGUUCUCAAGCCUUAGGAGGCCACCAGAAUGCUCACAAGAAGGAAAGAAACGCAGCAAGAAAGGCAAAAAAAGCAUCUGAAUAUGAUCCACCAGCACCACCACCUUCACUGCCAAUGGUUUUUGCUCCAAGUCAUCAUCAUUUAGGCCUAUUACAUCCUUCAAUGUACAUAACUGCCCAUGCAGCCACCCUGCAGUGUUAUCCUACCCACCAGUUGUCUGAUAGUUUUGGAUCCAGUGGUGCACCCAGGUUCGACAAUGGACCGUUUUAUGGUGGGAAUAAUUGUUCAAGCCAUAGCAGCUGGCAUCAUCAAUGUGAAGAAGAAGAUCAAAGUUUCUUGAAUUGGCAAAGAAGCACAAGAUUCAAUAGCUUCAAUGGAGGUGCUGGGUCCAGCCAACACCAAGCAUUAAUGGUGAAUAACGCUCGUCACAACGUGGGUAGCAGUGGUAAUAAAGAUCAAAAUCUUGAUUUGUCUCUUCAUUUAUGAAGAAGAAUGGUGGUAAGAAAAUGCCCAUUUUUGUUUUCAACUUAGGAUUCAGGUUGCUUCUUCUUCUUCUUCUUAUUUUCUCUCUCUUUUUGCAUGCCCUCAUAAUAAAAUCUUAUUAGUUAUUAAAUUUUGACAAAUGGCCAGAAGAAAAUGCCAUUCUUGGCUGGCUAAUUAUCUCUUUAGAUGUAAGGAUGUUGUUCCUUUGUGAGUGAAAA
rnacentral:misc_RNA from 1 species